GGACUCCGCGGUUGUGCCCGCAAACCGCGCAUCUCUAAUGUAGACCCAGUUUUGUUAUAGCAAAAACUAGGGGUGUAACGGUACACAAACAUUUCGCUUCGGUACGUACCUCGGUUUAGAGGUCACGGUUCGGUUCAUUUUCGGUACAGUAAGAAAACAACAAAAUAUACAUUUUUGGGUUAUUUACCAAAUUUGCAAAAUCUUCCACCAAAAAUAUUUUUCUUAGUGUAAUAUUUGAUGUGAAGUAAUGGGAACCUUGGAUAGGUCAAUAAUUCAUAAUAACAUGGAUUUUGAUUCAAUAUUAUGUUUUGAGCAAUGACAGUUUGAAAGAAAAAAAAAAAAACGCUUUGUUUUAUUAGUCAACAUUUUCUAAAUUACAUUUAAACUUUAAGCUUUUUUAUUUCACUUUUGUUAUGUUUUUGUUUAUUUGAAUACUAUUUUUAGAAUGCGCCGUGGGCCUUUAAAACAUUAGCUGUGGGCCGCAAAUGGCCUCCGGGGCACACUUUUGACACCCCUGCUAUAGAUAAUAAAAAAUUUAAAUGUGAUAAAUCUAUGGAUAAAAAGCAGAUGCGCGUUUAUCAUAACUUUCUCUCUCUCUCUCUGUCUCUGCCCCUCCCUCACCAAUGCUGCUGUUUGUUUUUAACCCCUUCUUAACCCUGAACGUACAUUGAAAAUACAUCGCAACCCUAACUCAAAAUGCCAGACAUUUGAGGCAUUUAAGAAACUCCGCAAAAGAGGACAUGUCCGGUGAAAAGAGGACGUAUGGUCAGUCUAUCCUAGCCCGUUAGCUGCUAGCAUGCCGUGUGUUGUGCCUCGGUGUGCAUUGUUUACACGACUUGCGUUACGCUACUUAAUAUGUCCGUGUGGAAACUCGUUUGGUACACUUCCGAACUGAACCCCCGUACCGAAACGGUUCACUACAAAUACACUUACCGUUACACCCCUAGCAAAAACACAAAAUGUGCAAUAUUUUCUCCCAAAAAGUGGAAUAUUUGAUGUGAACUAAUUGCCGCCUUAAACAGGUCAAUCAUUCAUAACAACAUUGAUCUAAAUAAAAACAACAAAAAAAGGAUCCCUAGUCAUAAAAGUGUAAAAAAAAAAAAAAAAAAAAAAAGCGUUUUUUUUUCUUUCAGCUCUUAAAGCUCCACUUUACAACUUUCACUUUUGGUUGAUUUGCCAGAAGAAGACCACAUUUCCCAUGAUGCCUAGCGCAUAUAGCGCCACACUGACAGGAUGUAGUAUUCUGCCUCCAGUGGCUGAUAUUAAAAAGCAGACAUUGGAUUGUUCUACAAACAAGAAUGUACCGGGGCAGAUGCAGGUCCCAAGCAAAGAAAGACCGUGAAACUAUCACGCUGGUGCCUAUUUAUUGCUACCACGCACAUUUCCGAUUGCUAACAUUAACAUCAUUUUGAUUUGAGGAUGGAAAGUCACUUACUAGUCCAGCAGGAUCAUCAGCAUUGCUGUGAAAUUCCUGCUCUCUCAGCUCAGGCCUGCCACUGAAAGCCGGGGCAAUGUUGAUCCUGACUGUAAGCUCCGUUUUUCUUUUUGGUCUCCUCAGACAAAACUUUUCCUUUCUUUGGUUGUUUUGGAGUUUCGGCCAUGAGAGCAGUAAUUACACGUAGGCGUUCUUCCUUAGGCCAUGACACAACCAGUUGUGUCAUCUCAAAAGUUAUAAAAAUAUGUUGAAAAAAGUCACUUAGUGCAGCUUUAAGUCUCUAAUUCAGCUUCAGAGUUAUCCAUCGAUUUUUAAAAUUGAUUUAAAUUUUUCAUUUAAAAAACAACUUUAUAUUCUAUAUUGGAAUGUUUGAUGUGAAGUAAUUGGAGCCUUGACUAUUUUCAAUAAUUCAUAACAACAUUGAUUUUGUUUUGUUAUUUUUUGAGCAAUGACAGUUUUAAAGAAAAAAAAAAGCUUUGUUAUCAGAGUCAACAUGGCAACUUUUUCUCGUUACAUUUCACCUUUUUUGCUCUUUCAUUCCACUUUUUCAUGUUUUAUUUAAACAUUUUUAGAAUGUGUGGCGGGCCGGUAAAAACUAGCUGCCCCCGGUGCACACUUUACCUUCAACACUAGAUCCACUUCACUUAUAUCUGUUCAUUAGAACCAGUUAUUCAUUAUUCAGAUAUAUCUGUCCAUUAGAACCAGUUAUUCAGAUAUAUCUGUCCAUUAGAACCAGUUAUUCAGAUAUAUCUGUCUAUUAGAACCAGUAUUCAGUAUUCAGAUAUAUCUGUCCAUUAGAAGUUGUUAUUCUUCAGGCCCGAGCAGCAGAGCUGCUUAUUUUUUAUUAUUGUUAUUAUUAUUUAGAUGCCUUUUUGAAGCCCUUAACGUCUAUGAAAACUUUUAUCAGGGUCGGUGAAAAUGUUUAUAAUUUGGGGGUGCCGAAAAUGACAUUUCAAAAUUGGCACUCUAAUAUUUUUCUUUGUUUUAUGCUCUUUUUUUUUUUUUUUUCAAUGAACAUUUUUUUAUAUGGCAAACACACAAAAUAUGCACUAUUUUCCUAAUGAAUGAAUUGGAGCCAUGAAUAGGCCAACAGUAUUUGUAGAAAGCUUUGGACGCCCCUGCAAAGAUGAACUAGUUGACCUGUAGUGACGUGUAAAACCUCAACCAGAAGGGAUUUCCCAGUCAGUAAGUCCACUGCCAGGUGUCUCCAUCCAGUACCAGUACCAGAACCAGUACCAGUACCAGAACCUCCUUGUGUGUGUGCAGUGAAACAUUGCAAUAUACUCCACCAUAUAUAGUCACUAUUUAUUCUCUCUAUAUAUGAAUAUAUACAUAUUUACUGUUGACAUAUGAAUGUAUGAGCAAGGUGUCUGUAACGUGUCGUCCGUGUGUCUUAUAUUCUCCAACCAUCACAUGACUUAUAUGACUACAUGUGAUGUGCAUGUCACUAAACCAUAUUUGUGCGUUGACGUUCAGGCACAGGUGGCAGUCUGGCUUGUUGUCAUCACGCCCCACUAGGGGGCGCUCUCACAUCCGUCCAGAUCGCUCGGCUUGUUUGGUAGACGGCCAGCUAAAUGUGUUGCAGCAGUUCAGACCCGACUAAUGGCUGCCAGAUGCCUUGGCUGAGGUGUAGCCAUGCGUGGGGAGGUCAAGUGGAGCUGCAGGGAGAAUACUACCAUGUUGGGGUGGGGCGCACCGUGUCCUUUGGCCAACCCCCUGUUGUUUGUUGGAACACACUCAUGGUGACCCAGAGACCACACAAAGUUAGAUGGACUAACACAGUGGUACCUCGCUUCGUCUUAGCCUUUUCUUCCAACAGCUCCGAAAAACCUUAGAAACUAUGUAUUCAUCACUUCCAAAAACCCCCACAUUUGAUUUAGAGCAGGGCUUCUCAACCUGUUUGACCAAACUUUUCCACUACAGUUGCACUCAAAUACUAACACUGAAUUAGUCAUCUACCACAUUCAUUCAUUGUGUCCAACCUCCUUACAGUUUAGAAUAGAAUGGACUUUAUUGUCAUUAUAUUUGCAUAUAACGAGAUUAAGGACUCCAACUUAUGGUGCGGUAGUGGGAACAAAUAUGGGGUAAAAAUAAAUUAAAUUACACAACAGGUAAUAAAGAAAAAACUAACAAUUGAAAUAAACAGACUACUAAACAAU